rnacentral:rRNA from 1 species
UACGAAGGGGGCUAGCGUUGCUCGGAAUCACUGGGCGUAAAGCGCACGUAGGCGGAUUGUUAAGUCAGGGGUGAAAUCCUGGAGCUCAACUCCAGAACUGCCUUUGAUACUGGCGAUCUUGAGUCCGGGAGAGGUGAGUGGAACUGCGAGUGUAGAGGUGAAAUUCGUAGAUAUUCGCAAGAACACCAGUGGCGAAGGCGGCUCACUGGCCCGGUACUGACGCUGAGGUGCGAAAGCGUGAGGAGCAAACAGG